UGCCUAAUAGGCUAAUGGAUAUGGCGGAUCGCCCUCCUAAGGCGGAGGUUAUCUAGAGUUCGAGUCCUAGUUAGGUUG